CCUACGGGAGGCAGCAGUGAGGAAUAUUGGGCAAUGGAGGCAACUCUGACCCAGCCAUGCCGCGUGCAGGAAGACGGCCCUCUGGGUUGUAAACUGCUUUUGUUUGGGAAUAAACCCUUCUACGUGUAGGAGGCUGAAGGUACCAUUCGAAUAAGGAUCGGCUAACUCCGUGCCAGCAGCCGCGGUAAUACGGAGGAUCCAAGCGUUAUCCGGAUUUAUUGGGUUUAAAGGGUCCGUAGGCGGGUCUUUAAGUCAGUGGUGAAAGCCCACAGCUCAACUGUGGAACUGCCAUUGAUACUGGAGAUCUUGAGUGUAGUAGAAGUAGGCGGAAUAGGGCAUGUAGCGGUGAAAUGCAUAGAUAUGCCCUAGAACACCGAUUGCGAAGGCAGCUUACUAUGUUACAACUGACGCUGAGGGACGAAAGCGUGGGGAGCAAACAGGAUUAGAUACCCUGGUAGUCCACGCUGUAAACGAUGAUUACUCGCUGUUGGCGACAUACAGUCAGCGGCCAAGCGAAAGCAUUAAGUAAUCCACCUGGGGAGUACGCCGGCAACGGUGAAACUCAAAGGAAUUGACGGA
rnacentral:rRNA from 1 species